rnacentral:tRNA from 1 species
GGGUUGAUAGCUCAGUAGGUAGAGCAAUGGACUGAAAAUUCAUGUGUCGUAGAUUCGAUUUCUACUCAACCCACCA